CUCCAGUCUCCUUGGUCAGUGAAAUAUUUCCUCUUCAACCUCAGACCCGACAUUUUUCUUUUACCAAAGGAUUUCAGAUGGGAUUGCUCGAACAGCAGCACCCCCUCUGGGUUAAUGCUGCUUCACCCCAUCCCCCACCCUCCCUCCCCCCUCUGGGCCUUUAAGUGGAAGCAGCUUGCACGGUGCCUGGCACAGUCCCAUCCAUCCCCCCAAAAUGUCUCAGCAUCUAUAUUUAGAAUCCUAUUGAACAGUGAUUUUCAGCCUUCUUUGGGUGCGAGACCCCUUAGAAAAUCGCUAGAAAGUAUGAAUUCUCUUUCCAGAAAUCGGACAACGCAGAGCGUAGGAUCCCAUUCAGGAGGCUGGCUCCUGAGUGCUGGAGGUGAGGAAGCCUCCAGAACCUAGACCGGCCCAGGGCUAACAAGGCGCAGCCGAUGGCACCCUCAUCCCCUGAAUGCUGGUUGCAAUGCAGAUUUCCUGGCCCCACCCGCACCUGCUACUCCGCCCCUUGAGUUCUUUGAAGACCCCAAGCCGGGUUCUAACCCGCCGAUCCAGCCCUGGACUCCUUGGGAUUCGCACAGCACCCACCACCCCGUUUAGGAUCUUUCGUAGCCGGAGCAGUGUAACGUAAACGAAGCUAUACUUACAAUUUAUUUUGAUUUUCAGUAAGAUAGCACGUGUCUUCUUGGGGAAAUGGAAACAGAACCCUUCCCUCCAUGAAGUACAACAAACACUACGAAAUCCCUUUCCGGUGUACCUUCUGGCUUUUUAUAGAAAGGAAGGAAAACGCAAAGCUAAACAGAGAGGGACAGGUGCCCAGGCAGAGGGAGAGAGGAAAACGGGGAAGACAAGACAGAUGCCUCCCACCCACACACACAGAAAAAGACACACACAGACGCAAACAUCCCAAGAAAAACAGACUUUCCUGGUGAAACACCCUCUCUUUUGGCCCUUUAGGAUUCACUUCCAGGAGCCGUGCAUUUGCACUGUACAGGGUGGACUCAGAUGGGCCUUCCCAGCCACAUCCUGGCAGGACAGGUUGAGAGCCAGUGAGGGCUAAGCCCGCUCCAGCCCAAGGGCUCGGCUCAGCAUCCGCCAAGCCUUGCCUGACCCAGGCGGAUGGGGAUCUCGGCGCUCCGUGUUCCGUCUCGCAGCCUGUCCUUUCGUGGGGCGCUCAUGUCCCGCGUUCCCAGAGGGUGCACCCAAAUCUGCUGUCCCCUCAAAUUAUUUCAGUCCAUCAGGUGGGAUGGUCCCUGCCUAAUUGCUCAGAAUUACUCUGAGAUACUUGCCUCUUGGGUAAGUCUGGGCGUUUACAGACCCCCACGGGCUGGCCUUAAACCUGGCCGUACCCUUAGAAGACCCCAGGAGAGGGACUGCGAGAUGGUGAGAAGGAUCGUUUUGGUUCUGGAAGCACUUAUGUUUUCUUAUAUGCCGGUGUUGUUGGACCAUCUUUGCCCAGAGACGGUUCUCUCCAUCUAAGCAACACAACCCAAGAUAGAACAGCUAGCCAGUAAGGAGGAUUGGGAAUCCAGCUGAUUAAUAGGAUGGGUUAAGGUUAGGUUCGGGAUGGGAGAGGGAGCUGAAGGCACCCAUCUGAAUUAGACGGUGGAGAAUGUGGUCCCUUGUGUGACCUGUAAAGACACCCUCGAGGCAUUUUGCUCUGGCCCAGAACUGAAGCGAACACCCUGAGCCUCCUCGUGCUCUGGGGACUGAGAACAUUCUGCCUCAGGUCCUCGUUUAGAUGCUCCAGGGAGUCCAGGUGAUUCUGGCACCCCUUUGAAGUUGCUGGGAGCUGCCAGAUCUGGUUUGGGUGGCCUCGCUUCCUCUCCCCUGCCCUCCCUGCCUAGGGCAGGGUGGCCCCUGCUGAGAAGGUUGCUUGGCUACCUGUACCAUGGAGUCAGUCGAAUGCCGAUCUGUUAGGCUCAGAGGUGAUCAGAAGACACCUUAGGUAUUCACUGCUUUUUGUGACAUGGGUUGGCUUUUGUCUCCAUGGAAUUCACCUCCUAAUUUCUGUUCUUUCAGAGCAAAGUGGAAUGAUUAUUUUGGUUCCCAGUGUUUCUGAUUGCAUACGGAAAGCUGCAUUUAAAUAAGUUGGUUAAAAGUUCUGCUGCCCUGUAACGCACAGAUCAGGAACGUUUGUUCACUCACAUGAACUCUCAUGUUUUAGGAAGCACAAUUUUUCAGAUUUUCGGGCAGUGGCUUACAGCAACCUUGGCAGGGCCUUCGCUCUCUGGGAGCGUGUGGUCGUCCGACUGCGCUUCAGGUCCCACUUGAAGAAGGAAGAGCAUGUUGUUUCUAUGAAGAGGCAAAGAUUUGUUUUCCCAUAGUCUUUCUCCCAACUUCCAUUUCCCGGCUGGGUAAAGGAAUGCGCUUAGGAGAUUGGGGCGUGCUUUUCCGUGGAGACAGAGAGGGUGAUGCUGACCUCGAACGUGAAGCGCUUUCAUAUUUUGCCUGGAAUUGCUUUGACCUUGAUCUCCCAAGGUCCACGUUGGGAAGGCAAUGGACACCUGUUUGGGUCCCGGAGUCCAGCUUCUCUUCCAGAUGCGUUCCACCGUUUUCAAGGAGAGCAGUUGGACAACAUGGCUUCUGAGUCAUCAGAUUGUCUUUGGGGUUGAUCAGGAUUUUAUUUUUAACCGCAGUGGGAUUCAUACGGGUAUCUUUUUCAAUGCUCUUCCUUUGCGUGUCCUAAAGCUUUUAUACCAGGUGAAUCAUGCCGUUUAGCUUCCUUUUGUGUGUCCCGGGGGCCCUGACACUGUGGGUGGUGAUCCAAAGUCCCCCAGGCAAGGCUGGUACAGGAAGGGCCACUCCUGUUGCUACACAGGAAAGGGUAAUUAACAAUUCGCUUGGAGGUUGUGGCUCCCGGACUUCAACAGUUAAUCAUGCCAGUUAAGUGAAGACACUUCGGUAGGAUCUGCUCGAUUAAAUGGGACGCUUCUCGAGGAACUGCUCAAUGAAAUGAGGGGUGUGCCUGUGGCGCCGUGCAGGUCUAAGCCGGCAUAGUCUUGGGCGGAUUUAAAGCCAGUCCCCUACACCCGUGUAUACCACAAGGCUUUGAGGAUGCUCAGUGGCUACCUGGUGUUAGACGGCACCUGGCUGCAGACCACUUCUCCUUUAUCGGACGGAUGCGGUUCAAAACGUCGCCAAUGUUGGGAGCUAGACCUUAGGCAAAUUGCUUAACCUCUCAGAUCCAUGACUUCCUUCUGCGAGCGAUGGAGGUGGGAGAAACACGGUGCCAGACGCACAGCAGGGGCUUCGUAAACGGAGGUCUGCUGCGUUUAACACAGCCUAGCCCGCGCAGUUUCGCACAUGCCCGCUGGGGGCUGGGAGCUGCUGCAGAGGCUGGGGGCUCAGGGGAGACCAUGAAAGAGAGACGUGACAUUUCUCGCAGGGAGAGUCAGAUAAAACCAAGCCGUUUUAGGUGGUGAAAAGUGUUACAGGUAAACCCUCGUGGAGCUGCAGAGUGAACACACUUUGAGGAGGUGUCACUCGAGCGAGGCUCGAAUUCUUCUUCGAAGGAGCCACCUGCAACAGGUUCCAGAGGCCCUGAGGUGUGUCGCCUUGGUGGGUUUAGGACAGAAUGAAGGCCGAGUGUCCGGCUCAGCCAGGCCUCGUAAGGGGUCAGGGCCUUAGGUCUCUGGCCCGAAGGCAGCGAGACGAGGCUCGUUAUUGACCCUCUUCCUCCGAAGGUGAAGGUGAGAUGUGCCGCUCUCCCUUCCAUGUGGCAACAAAACCCCAGUGUCAGUUGAAGUGCAUUUUGCAGAAUGAGUCGUCUAAGUCAUCUCUGACCAGUUCUUCUUGUUUGAGAAAAACCAGAGUCAAACCAACUGCUCAGAGGGUGUCCUGCCCAGGUGACAGUAGGAUGCAGAGGGCUCGGCUGCUGGGCACCUGGGGCUCCCCUCACACGCUGGGGAGCACCUGUGCUGGGCAGCCGGUUAAAGACGGGAGAUGGGUUUUCCAUGGAUGUUGGGGCCAAAGCAGGCCUUCGGCUUACACCUGUCAUGGUACUGAGAGCUUGGGAGGAUGAGCCCAGGAAGUCACCCAGCCAUGGGCCUGUCUCCAAGCUUUCUGGAGCUGCCCAGAUGCUCCUGCCAGCCCCACUCUGCUGUGCCUGCCUUUCCUGUGCGGGCACCUGAGAAUGAUGACCAGCUUCGAGGGCCAGUCUCAGUUGUGCCCUUGGCCUCUGCCCUGUCCUCGCACACGCUGAGCUUUUUUCUUCUCCAAAGUCUCCCCAUAUCUUUUAAAAUGUUAAAAUCUUUCUUGUUCCUUUUUGGUUACCAAGAAAUGUAGCUUGGUUGCUGUGAUGUUUUAAUAAACAGCUACUGCCUGUCUACAGUCUUCUUUGAAGGGUUCAGAUUUUUGUGAUCUGCUCUGUGUCAUCCUGCAUUGGCCACCUGUUGAUUUUUUUUUUUCAUUUACUUAUUUUUUAUUUUUUGUGGGGUUUUUUUUCCUCCUACCACCUCUUGAUUUUAUGCUUAAUUUCUCCAGUUUUCUUCAUGCUCUGAGUUCUAGGGUUCUUCAAGAAGGAAACCCUUCCUGUUGCUUAUAGUAUAUUGUUUUCCAUCCUAUCUCUGUCUUUACAUUUAAAGUCUUUAUAUUCAAAGUUUCUUGUAGACAACAUAUAGGUGAGUCUCUCUUUUUUUAAUACAAUCUGAUAAUCUCUGUAUUUUAAUUGGUGUGUAUUUAGUCCAUUUAUAUUUAACUUCAUUAUCUGUAUGGUUAGAGUUAAGUUUGCUUCUUGGUGGUUGUUUCCGUUUGUCCCAUCUAUUCUUUUUUUUUUUUUUUCACUCAAAUGAAGUUAUCGCAUCUGUAGUUGUAUAAUGAUCAUCACAAUCUGAUUUCACAGGAUUUCCAUCCCACAGCCCAAGCACAUCCCCCCCACCCCCCAAACUCUCCUCCGGAGACCAUAAGUUUUUCAGUGUCUAAUUGUAUUUUAUUUCCACGACUGGCCUUCAUCAGCAUCUUGGAGGGCUUCCUACAUUUUAUUUCUACGUAUGUUAUAAACCCCACACUACCUUCUUAUACUUGCUUGAAAUGUUCGAUUAUCUCUUAAAGUAAUUUAUAUUUCUUCACACAUUUACGUUCCUGGUGUUAAUACCUCCGUGAUCCAAGUUUCCGUCUGAUGUCAUUUUCCUUCACCUAAAGAACUUUCUUUAAUGUGUCUUAUAGUACAGGUCUGCUGUUGAGAGACUCUCUCAGCUUUGCUUUGUCUCAAAAAAAGGUUUUAUUUUGCCGUCAUUUUUGAAGGAUACUUUCCCUGAAUAUAGAAUUCUCGGUUGAUAGGUUUUUUUCCCCCUUUGGCGCUUUAAAAAGGUCAUUCAGUUGUUUUCUGCCUUGCACAUUUACUGAUAAGAAAGUCGGCAGUUAUUCUUAUCUUUGCUUCUCUGUAUGUUAACAUCUUUUUUCCUUCCCGCUGCUUUACGAUUUCGUCUUUAUCACUCGUUUUCAUCAGUUUGAUUAUAAUGUGUCUUACCGUACAUAUGCGGGUUCAGGGGGUUGCUUUUUGUUUGUUAGUCUUGCUGGGGGUUGAUCGGGCUUCUUGGAUCUAGGUUUCAUCAAAUUUGGAAAAUAAUACAUUUUAGUUGUUAUUUCCUCAAUUGUACUUUUCCUCAUCUCAGAUCCCAGUUACAUGUAUGUGAGACCACUUUCUGUUAUUGCCCAAAUCACCGAAACUCUGUUUUUAAAUUUUUUUUUUUUUUUCUGGGCUUCCUUUGGGAUAGUUUCUAUGGCUAUGCCCUCAAGUUUUCUAAUCUUUUACAGGGGUUUGGGGAGGGCUCUGUCUAAUCGACUGUUAAUCACAUCCAGCAAAGUUUUCAUUUUAAAUAUUGUGGUUUUCAUCUCAAAGAGCCAAAAGUCCCAUUUGGCUCUUGUUUAUGUCAUCCAUUUCUUUAAUUAUGUUUGUAUUUUUCUUUCAAUUCUUAUACAUAGUUAAGUGAGCUGUUACCCUCAUCUGUGAGGUCUAUCAGUGAUCAUUGCCCAGUGUUGCUAUUGACAUUAUUUUCCUUUCCAUGAGUCGGAUUUUCCUGCUUCUGGGCAUUGGCAUCGUUUUUUGUUUUUUUUUUGUUUGUUUGUUUGUUUUUGGUUUUUGGAUGUUACUCAUUGUAGAGAUUAUGUUGUUGAGUGUCUGGAUUUUGUUGUUUCACUGUGAAAAGUGUUGGACAUUGUUUUGGAAGGUAGUUAUUGGUGGAACAGUUUCAUCUCUUCAAGACCACCUUUUAAGCGUUUGUAGAGCAGCUCCAGGGUAGCUGUGGCUCCAGGGAUAGAUGGGCCCUACCUCUAAAGCAUAUGGCCCCUCUGAUUCUGUACUUAAUACCCCAGGUGGUCACUGAGGACUCUCUGCUCUGGUUGCUUGGACCCUGAACAUCUGCCUACCUUUGUGUGUCCUAGGAACUGUUCAGCUUGCAGCUUCUGGAUCAUUCUUUCCCGAGUUUUUCAGAGCGUCACUCUAUGCAUGCAUAGCUUGGUAAGAAAGACUCAAGGGGUGUCUCAUGCAGGUUUUUUUAGAGCUCUUUUUUCUGCAUAGCUCCCGCCUUUCUGGAACUCUGCUCUGCAACUUCCAACUGCCUCAGCUUCCCUGAAUGCUGGGCUGUGUUGAUGAUGAAGUCACCAGGCUUUGCUUGGGUCCCCCUUCCCUACACUCUUUCAGGAAUCCUAGUCCUGUGCUGCCCGCUGUCCAACGCCUAAGAGCUGUUGUUUAGCAUCUAUGUUGGUUCCGUUUUCUACUUAUGGCAGGACAUUAAAUCCCCUCCUUGUUACUCCAUCGUGGCCAGAAGUGGAAGUUUCUGUCCAUCCUUUUUAAUGUAACAGCUAAUUUUAUGUAAAAAUCUUUCUGGAGUAUCGGGGGUGUAUACUCCUUAAGGCAGUGUAAAAAUGCUUCCUUGGAGAGUUCCCGUCGUGGCACAGUGGAAACGAAUCCAACUAGGAACCAUGAGGUUGUGGGUUCGAUCCCUGGCCUCGCACAGUGGGUUAAGGAUCCAUCAUUGCUGUGAGCUGUGAUGUGAGUUGCAGACGCGGCUCGGAUCUGGUGGUGGUGUGGCUGUGGCGUAGGCCCACAGCUACAGCUCCGAUUGGACCCCUAGCCUGGGAACCUCCAUAUGCCGUGGGUGCGGCCC
rnacentral:lncRNA from 1 species